AUGCGGGUGAUAGCAUAUGGCGUUCCGGCUGACUAUGCCGAUGAGUAUCUUCGCAUUGGUGAAGAUAGCACAAUUGAGUCCGUGCGUAGAUUUGCGAAAGUGAUCGUCCGUGUCUUUGGUCCCGAGUAUCUUCGGGCACCAAAUGAAGAUGACACAAAGAAAUUGAUGGCAGCUAAUGAGAGGAGAGGUUGGCCUGAGAUGCUAGGUAGCAUUGAUUGUAUGCAUUGGAAUUGGAAAAAUUGCCCCAAGGCUUGGCAAGGAAUGUACUGUGGCAAGUGUCGUGAUGCAACAAUUGUGCUAGAGGCCGUAGCAUCCGAGGAUUUAUGGAUUUGGCAUUGCUUUUUUGGUAUGCCCGGUACACUCAAUGAUAUCAAUCUGUUGCAACGCUCUCAUUUGUUUGCUAGGCUUGCUAGUGGUGAUGCUUCUGCUUGCAACUACACUGUCAAUGGGCAUGAAUACACAAAGAGGUACUAUCUUGCAUAUGGUAUAUAUCCUCCUUGGUGCACAUUUGUCAAGAGCAUCAAAGAACCCAAAACAAAAAACAAUGCGAAUUUGCAAGGGUGCAAGAGGCAGCCAAAAGACAUUGAAAGAUCAUUCGGUGUUUUGCAAUCUAGGUUUGCCGUUGUCCGAGGUCCUGCUCGUUUUUGGAAUAAGAAAACCCUGAAGAACAUCAUGACUUGCUGUGUUAUCCUGCAUAAUAUGAUUCUUGAAGAUGAGAGAGGAAUGGACUUAGAAUUAUUUUACGAUAAUGUGGGUAGCCGUGUCAAACCAGCUAGAGACCCAAACCGCAUUAGAGCUUUUCUUCAGACAUACAAGGAGAUUGAAAAUGCGGACGCAUACUUUCAACUUCAGGAAGAUCUCAUUGAGCACCAU
rnacentral:rRNA from 1 species